rnacentral:rRNA from 1 species
GACGUAGGGCGCGAGCGUUGUCCGGAUUUAUUGGGCGUAAAGAGCUCGUAGGCGGCUUGUCGCGUCGAAUGUGAAAUCUCAGGGCUCAACUCUGACAUUGCAUUCGAUACGGGCAGGCUAGAGUUCGGUAGGGGAGACUGGAAUUCCUGGUGUAGCGGUGAAAUGCGCAGAUAUCAGGAGGCACACCGAUGGCGAAGGCAGGUCUCUGGGCCGAUACUGACGCUGAGGAGCGAAAGCGUGGGGAGCGAACAGG